rnacentral:rRNA from 1 species
AGGACGAACGCUGGCGGCGUGCUUAACACAUGCAAGUCGAGCGGAAAGGCCCUUCGGGGUACUCGAGCGGCGAACGGGUGAGUAACACGUGAGCAACCUGCCCUUAGCUUCGGGAUAGCUCCGGGAAACCGGAAUUAAUACCGGAUAUGACUAUGGCCGACAUCAGCCAUGGUGGAAAGUUUUUCGGCUAGGGAUGGACUCGCGGCCUAUCAGCUAGUUGGUGAGGUAACGGCUCACCAAGGCGACGACGGGUAGCCGGCCUGAGAGGGCGACCGGCCACACUGGGACUGAGACACGGCCCAGACUCCUACGGGAGGCAGCAGUGGGGAAUAUUGCGCAAUGGGCGAAAGCCUGACGCAGCGACGCCGCGUGGGGGAUGAAUGCCUUCGGGUUGUAACCCCUUUCAGCAGGACGAAGCGAAAGUGACGGUACCUGCAGAAGAAGCGCCGGCUAACUACGCGCCAGCAGCCGC